CCUACGGGAGGCAGCAGUGAGGAAUAUUGGUCAAUGGGCGGGAGCCUGAACCAGCCAAGCCGCGUGAGGGAAGAAGGUCUAGCGUAUCGUAAACCUCUUUUUUCAGGGAACAAAGGCGGGGACUAGUCCCCGGAUGAGGUUACCUGAAGAAAAAGCAUAGGAUAACUCCGUGCCAGCAGCCGCGGUAAUCCGGAGGAUGAGAGUGUUAUCCGGAUUUAUUGGGUUUAAAGGGUGCGCAGGCGGCCUGUUAAGUCAGCGGUAAAAGCCCGGGGCUCAACCCCGGCGAGCCGUGGAAACUGGCGGGCUGGAGUUGGAGAGAGGUACGCGGAAUGCGCGGUGUAGCGGUGAAAUGCGUAGAUAUCGCGCAGAACCCCGAUUGCGAAGGCAGCGUACCGGCUCCACACUGACGCUGAGGCACGAAAGCGUGGGUAUCGAACAGGAUUAGAUACCCUUGUAGUC
rnacentral:rRNA from 1 species